ACCGCCGACGCAGAACUGAGGCACAAAAAGUUCCGAGAGAUACGCACAGCUUUCCUCGUGGGACCAGUCAUCAUGGCCGUGGUGGGCAACGUGAUCGGCUUCUGGACAUUGCCGUCGCGUGCCGAAAUGCCACUUCACGAGGCGGAACAUGGCCAAGAGGAGUACGCGGACGAAAUAAACCUAUGGCUGUGGGCACUACUGACGUUCCCUGGAGUGGUCGGCGCGGUACUAUUUUGCUGCGGAUACCUCUACGUGGCAAACCUGCA